AUUGAACGCUGGCGGAAUGCUUUACACAUGCAAGUCGAACGGUAGAGGGGGCAACCCCUUGAGAGUGGCGAACGGGUGAGUAAUAUAUCGGAACGUGCCCAGUCGUGGGGAUAACGUAGCGAAAGUUACGCUAAUACCGCAUACGAUCUAAGGAUGAAAGCGGGGGAUCGCAAGACCUCGCGCGAUUGGAGCGGCCGAUAUCAGAUUAGGUAGUUGGUGAGGUAAAGGCUCACCAAGCCAACGAUCUGUAGCUGGUCUGAGAGGACGACCAGCCACACUGGAACUGAGACACGGUCCAGACUUCUACGGAGGCAGCAGUGGGAAUUUUGGACAAUGGACGCAAGUCUGAUCCAGCCAUUCCGCGUGCAGGAUGAAGGCCCUCGGGUUGUAAACUGCUUUUGUACGGAACGAAACGGUGAGCUCUAAUACAGUUUGC
rnacentral:rRNA from 1 species